AUACGUAGGGGGCGAGCGUUGUCCGGAAUGAUUGGGCGUAAAGGGCGCGUAGGCGGCGCGGUAAGUCUGGAGUGAAAGUCCUGCUUUCAAGGUGGGAAUUGCUUUGGAUACUGCCGCGCUUGAGUGCAGGAGAGGUUAUCGGAAUUCCCGGUGUAGCGGUGAAAUGCGUAGAGAUCGGGAGGAACACCAGUGGCGAAGGCGGGUAACUGGACUGCAACUGACGCUGAGGCGCGAAAGUGUGGGGAGCAAACAGGAUUAGAUACCCUGGUAGUCCACACUGUAAACGAUGAAUGCUAGGUGUAAGAGGUAUCGACCCCUUUUGUGCCGGAGUCAACACAAUAAGCAUUCCGCCUGGGGAGUACGGCCGCAAGGUUGAAACUCAAAUGAAUCGGCGGGG
rnacentral:rRNA from 1 species